rnacentral:rRNA from 1 species
AACCAUGCAAGUCGAACGCUCACCUUCGGGUGGGAGUGGCAGACGGGUGAGUAACACGUGGGAACGUACCCUUUGGUUCGGGACAACUCUGGGAAACUGGAGCUAAUACCGGAUACGCCCUUUUGGGGAAAGGUUUACUGCCGAAGGAUCGGCCCGCGUCUGAUUAGCUAGUUGGUGGGGUAACGGCCUACCAAGGCGACGAUCAGUAGCUGGUCUGAGAGGAUGAUCAGCCACACUGGGACUGAGACACGGCCCAGGCUCCUACGGGAGGCAGCAGUGGGGAAUAUUGGACAAUGGGCGCAAGCCUGAUCCAGCCAUGCCGCGUGAGUGAUGAAGGCCUUAGGGUUGUAAAGCUCUUUUAUCCGGGACGAUAAUGACGGUACCGGAGGAAUAAGCCCCGGCUAACUUCGUGCCAGCAGCCGCGGUAAUACGAAGGGGGCUAGCGUUGCUCGGAAUCACUGGGCGUAAAGGGCGCGUAGGCGGCGUUUUAAGUCGGGGGUGAAAGCCUGUGGCUCAACCACAGAAUGGCCUUCGAUACUGGGACGCUUGAGUCUGGUAGAGGUUGGUGGAACUGCGAGUGUAGAGGUGAAAUUCGUAGAUAUUCGCAAGAACACCGGUGGCGAAGGCGGCCAACUGGACCGGCACUGACGCUGAGGCGCGAAAGCGUGGGGAGCAAACAGGAUUAGAUACCCUGGUAGUCCACGCUGUAAACGAUGAAUGCUAGCUGUUGGGAUGCAUGCAUCUCAG